rnacentral:lncRNA from 1 species
CUCAAAAAAGAAAAAAAAAGAAAGAAAGAAAAGAAAUACUGAGUGUCUUGACACUCCACAAAACAUAAUACUGGUCCAUAUUGAUGAUAUUAUGCUGAUUGGAUUUGAUGAGCAGGAAGUUACAAGUACUUUAGAUGUCUUAAUAAGACAUAUGUGAACCAUAUUGAAGGAGAUAAUACCCACAAAAAGCCAGGGGCUGGUCACCUGAGUGAAGGUUUGGGGAUUCAGUAGUCUGGAGAACACCGAAAUAUCUCCUCCAAGGCAAAAGACCAACUUCUGCAUUUUGUACUACCUACCACAAAGAGGCACAACUCUUGAUAAGCCUUUUUGGGUUUUGGAGGCAACAUGUAUCACAUUUGUGAAUCUACAGAGAUACUUGUAAGGCUUCCUGUUUCACAUGGGACCUGGGACAAAGAAGGCUCUGCUCUAAAUUCAGGCUAUAGUAUAAGCUGCUCUAUCACUUGUCCUUCUGACUCAACAGACCCAAUGAUACUUUAAGUGUGGCAAACAGUUGAUGUAUGUAGCUUCUCAAAAGGAUGAAUAGGAAAAUGACCACCUUGACCUCUAGAAUUUUUGAAUAAAAUCCAUGUCUUCUACAGAUAACUAUUCUCUUUUUGAGAACAGCUUCUGUCUUGCUACCAGGCCUUGGUAGAUACUGAAUGCCUAAUGCUUCCCGUCACAAACUCACCUUGCCAAGAGAUCAGGCAUGUGCACAGUCUAUCAUCAAAUGGACAUGGUAUAUAAGAGAUCAAGUUUGAGUAGGUCUGGAAUAUAUGAGUAGAUUUCAUAACAGGCACUUCAGAUUCCUUUGACACAAACUCCUGUUGCAUUGUGUCCUGUCCUUCACCCCAUGCCUGUGACCUCAUGAACUGCUCCUUAUGACCAGUUUACUGAGGAAAACACUUAGACCUGGUUACAGCUGAACCUAUGCAGUAAGCUGGCAAUACACAAAAGUGGACAGCCUCAGCAUUACAGGGGUGACCCUGGAGUAUGAUGGAGCUGCCUGCCUUGCCUGUAAUGCUUCUGCCAGCAACACCAUCUGUGGACUGACAGAAUGCUUUAUCCACAUUCACAGGAAUCCAGCCAUCAUCUGAGGAAGCAGUUCAUGUCGCAGCAAAGGAAGUUCUGUUCUCACCACAGCCCCUAUCUUCUGGAAGCAGCUGUCGUAAUUGAAAGGGUGCAUUUCUCACCUGCACUGUGGUCCAGGAAACUCAAGUCACCGUCCCCACCAUGUUCUUCCUGACUUCGAAGCAGUCUGGUGACCCCAGGCAGGAACUGACUAGCAUGAGAGUCUUGAUGCAGGAGAAUUUUUGAAGAAAUUCAGAAGCAGAACCGAAAGGAGGAGAGAAGGUGGAGGAAACAGCAGGCAGUGAGAUGGAGUGAGAACUGGAAUAAGGCAAGGAAUAUUGCUGAGAUGGUUCUCAAAUCAAUGGAGAGAGAUGUCCGUGGAUGAAUCACAAAGGGAGGGAAUGGGUGCAAAGGCCUCACUGAGAUCCAAUGACAGCAGAAGCUGCCAGGAUCUGACGUAAACCAGUUUGGUUGAAGUGUUGGGGGAGGCUAUAUGACCACAUUUUGUUUCUAUUGGCACAAUUCCAUACAUGGAAAAUGUCAUGAGACUCAAAAAUGGGUUCAGCAGAAGCUCAAAAAUAUGCUACAAAAUUCAGGAAGAAGCUAAAAUAUUAUCAGAUUAUUUUAUAAAGGACACAACUAGUCAGGAACCUUUUGAAAACACCAGCAUGCAUCAUCCAAAGAAGUAGAAUCCAAUUAAAAAAAAAAAAAAGACUGGGAGGAGUACAUCACAAAGGAGGGUGAGAUUUGGGAAGACAGUUACUCUAAGACCCUGUGAGCAAACUGCACCUGAUUCCAGAAAGACAGUUGGAGUCGAGGAGAGAAUGAAGCAACUUUACUGGCUGGGUUGAAGCCUACCCUAUCAGAACGGAAUAAGGCUAAUGCGGUUAUCAAGGUUCUCUUGAAGGAAAUAAUCCCCUGGUUUGGGUUGCCCCAAAGCCUCCAAAGUGAUAAUCGCUUGUCUUCUGCCUCCCAAAUAACUCAAAGGGUUGCUAAGGCUCUCAGAAUUAAAUACUAUUUACACUCAGCAUGGAGGCCUCAAUCCUCAGGGAAAGUAGAAAGGGCUAAUCAAACUCUAAAACUGGCAUUAGCUAAGCUAUGUCAGGAAACAUCAGAAACUUGGAUCAACUUACUGCCCAUAGCCCUCUUAAGAAACCAUUAUUCUCCAAGAGCAAAAAUUAAUAUAAGCCCAUAUAAAAUGUUAUAUGGGAGGCCAUUUUAACUAAUGAUCUAAUUACUGAUCCAGAAACGGCUGAGUUAAUAAAAUACCUAGUUAACCUAGGACAGUUUCAGCAGGUCUCGCAAGAGUUUGGAACUCAAAGGCUCCCCGCACCAGGAACUAACCAGCAAACCAAGGUCAGGCCAGGAGAUAAGGUACUUGUUAAAACAUGGAAUGAGGAGUCACCUGCUCAACAACUACAACCCUAAUGGAAGGGACUAUUUUCACUGGUGUUGGCCAUGCCUUCCAUGGCCAAAGUACUAGGAUUAGAUAGUUGGAUACCUCUUUCCAGGUUUAAGCCUGCAACAUCUGAAGCCCUGGACCUGGAACCGGAGACUCCCACCAGCCACUAUACCUGUGAACCCGUAGAAGACCUGAACUACCUAUUUAAAAGACAGUCAAAAGAUAAGUAAAUGCCUACCAAUUUUCCCUGGUGUAAAAUGUUAACUGAUUUUUGCUCUCUCACUUACAGAUGUUUGUAUAAGGGUUUCAGCCAAUUUUGGAACAAAAUUCAAAAUCAGGCCAAAAUACUUACCUGUUGUGACUAGAUCAAGCCAGCUGUACCUUUUAUAACCACGUACAAGGCUUGCCGCAACCCAUGGAUACCCACCUAAAUACUUAGGAAUAGAGAGCCAUGAUCCUCAGUAGGCAGGGACAAUGCCCAUGACCAGUAGAAAGUAGCUACAGAAAACUGAUCUUCAGCCCUUUUGCCUCCCAUAAAGAUUUAUGGGGAUCAUAUCUCUCAGAGGGAAAUGAGGCAGGAGAAUAGGGAAUUAGGGUAACCAGGGUUUCAGCUGGUGCAGCCAGUGCCGCAGGGGUGGAAGAACAGCAGGUGCAGCCAGUUCAAAUGAGCAGAAGAACAGCAGGUGCAGCAUAUAGGCCACAUCCUUGCUCCCAUGAUAACAAGCCACUUCAGCCUCCGAUUGGUCUCAGGCCAAUCCUUUAUGAGGUGUGGUCAAUUGGAGGCCUCUGAAGGGCACUGAGAGGUGUUGCCGGGUUUUUUCUUUAAUAAAAACCGUAAUUGAGGGGGCUCUUGAGCAGCCGCUUGCUCAAGCCCAAUCCCACUCUGAAUUUUCUUCAAUAAAUCUGUGCCCACACUGGCAUUUUGUUCAGUUCCUUGCCCAAUACACCAAGAACAGCAGGUGCAGCAUACAGGCCACAUCCUGGCUGGACAACUCACAUUUAGGACACUCUCUCCGGCAACAGGUGACAUCAUCCUCUUAGCCUGUCAAAAUGUUGGUAUUACAGGCAUGAGCUGCCCUGCCUGGCCUAUAACUUUUUUUGCUGAAAAAUAUUCCCUUGUAUGCAGGUAUUACAUUUAGCCAUUCAUCAGCUGGUGGACAUUUGAACUGUUUCCACUUUUGUUUACUAUGAAUAAAGCUGCUAUGAACACCUGUGUAAAGUUUUGCAUAGACAUGUUUUCAUUUCUGUAUAUAUAUCUAA